UACGUAGGGUGCAAGCGUUGUCCGGAAUUAUUGGGCGUAAAGAGCUCGUAGGCGGUUCGUCGCGUCGGCUGUGAAAACCCGGAGCUCAACUCCGGGCCUGCAGUCGAUACGGGCGGACUAGAGUUCGGCAGGGGAGACUGGAAUUCCUGGUGUAGCGGUGAAAUGCGCAGAUAUCAGGAGGAACACCGGUGGCGAAGGCGGGUCUCUGGGCCGAUAUUGACGCUGAGGAGCGAAAGCGUGGGGAGCGAACAGG
rnacentral:rRNA from 1 species